AGAGUUUGAUCCUGGCUCAGAGCGAACGUUAGCGGCAGGCUUAACACAUGCAAGUCGAGCGACAAAGGGGCUUCGGCCCUGAGUAGAGCGGCGGACGGGUGCGUAACACGUGGAUAAUCUGCCUCGUGGCGGGGGAUAACAGUCCGAAAGGACUGCUAAUACCGCAUGUCAGGUCGGAAACCCCGGUUUCUGACGAAAAAGAGGGCGCCCGCAAGGGGCUCUCACCACGAGAUGAGUCCGCGGCCCAUCAGCUAGUUGGCGGUGUAAUAGACCACCAAGGCUAAGACGGGUAGCUGGUCUGAGAGGAUGACCAGCCACACUGGGACUGAGACACGGCCCAGACUCCUACGGGAGGCAGCAGUGGGGAAUAUUGGACAAUGGGCGAAAGACCUGAUCCAGCCAUGCCGCGUGAGUGAUGAAGGUCUUCGGAUCGUAAAGCUCUGUGGGAAGGGACGAAAAAGCCUAACCUAAUACGUUAGGUCUUGACGGUACCUUCUUAGCAAGCACCGGCUAACUCCGUGCCACG
rnacentral:rRNA from 1 species